UCAGGGAGGAAUAAAUGACGUGUACCUGAAGAAUAAGCAUCGGCUAACUCCGUGCCAGCAGCCGCGGUAAGACGGAGGAUGCAAGUGUUAUCCGGAAUCACUGGGCGUAAAGCGUCUGUAGGUGGUUUAAUAAGUCAACUGUUAAAUCUUAAGGCUCAACCUUGAAAUCGCAGUCGAAACUAUUAGACUAGAGUAUAGUAGGGGUAAAGGGAAUUUCCAGUGGAGCGGUGAAAUGCGUAGAUAUUGG
rnacentral:rRNA from 1 species